CAGCCGCCGCGGUAAUACGAAGGGGGCCAGCGUUGUUCGGAUUUACUGGGCGUAAAGCGCACGUAGGCGGACUUUUAAGUCAGGGGUGAAAUCCCGGGGCUCAACCCCGGAACUGCCUUUGAUACUGGAAGUCUUGAGUAUGGUAGAGGUGAGUGGAAUUCCGAGUGUAGAGGUGAAAUUCGUAGAUAUUCGGAGGAACACCAGUGGCGAAGGCGGCUCACUGGACCAUUACUGACGCUGAGGUGCGAAAGCGUGGGGAGCAAACAGGAUUAGAUACCCCUGUAGUCCCUGUCUCUUAUAA
rnacentral:rRNA from 1 species